rnacentral:tRNA from 1 species
CACUAAGAAGCUAUUACAGCGUUAACCUUUUAAGUUAAAGACUGAGGAUUCAAUCUCCCUCCCUAGUGA